GAUGAACGCUAGCGGCAGGCUUAAUACAUGCAAGUCGAGGGGCAUCAAGGUACACGAAAGUGUAUUGUUGGCGACCGGCGGACGGGUGAGUAAUAGGUAGGUAACCUACCUCAUACUGAGGCAUAGCUGGGAGAAAUUCCAGGUAAUUCCUCAUGAGGUUAUAUGACACAUGUGAUAUAAUCAAAGGUAUCGCAAGGUACUGGUAUGAGAUGGGCUUACUGACCAUUAGCUAGUUGGUGAGAUAAGAGCUCACCAAGGCGAAGAUGGUUAGGGGUUUUGAGAGAGAGAUCCCCCACAUUGGAACUGAGAUACGGUCCAGACUCCUACGGGAGGCAGCAGUAGGGAAUAUUGGGCAAUGGGCGGAAGCCUGACCCAGCCAUGCCGCGUGAAGGAAGACGGCCUUAUGGGUUGUAAACUUCUUUACUAUGCGACUAACUAGAUUUACGAGAUAAUUCUAUAGAAUGUAGCAUAGAAAAAGCACCGGA
rnacentral:rRNA from 1 species